rnacentral:tmRNA from 1 species
GGGCUUGUACUGGUUUCGACGGGGGUUUUGAAGUUAGAGAAGCCAUCUGCGGGCCGGGACCGCACAGUAAACCGGACUUUAAAAUUAAACGCAAACAAUAACGAAGAGUUAUUAGCAGCUGCUUAAUGCUGCUUGUCGGCUUCAGGUUACUCACAGCCUGGGUGUCCGGCAUCAAAUGAUGUGAGGCCCUCUGUCUCCUAAGCUUUGCGGAGGCAGAAGAUUUUAUGAAGCUACUGAAGCUGUCAGCCCGUCAUCAGGCGGACAGGGGAGGGAAUGUCAGAAUGAUGACUGUGAUGGGAGAUGCUUUGAUGGAUAGGCUUUCGGACAGGGGUUCGAUUCCCCUCAGGUCCAUUG